UUCACACAGAGAGUGGAGUCAUUUCCAGUGCUCUAGUCUAGUUCCCUAAGCAUCAAAUGUGGAAGAAGGGGAAGAGCACAGAAAACUAGGGUCACUCAACCAAACCUGGAAGAAAGAUACUGUUAAAUAGCUCACAUGAUGCUACACAACUAAAAUCAAUAGGAUAGAACCUGGAGCCCAAAUCUGUCUUCAUCAAAGUCGACCACAUUUCUACCAUAUCAUGCACUGACCCACAGCUAUAGAGGCAGCCCUCAGGAAAAGAACCAGCCGAUAUCUGUCUUCAAUAAAUAUCGAGCAGUUCUUCCUAAACCCUGCCCCCUUUCAAUAGCCAUCUCUCUGGUGCCCUUAGGGGAGUCCUGUUGCCCUGCCUCUCACCCUUAUGAAGGGAGAAAGCAUUAUGUGCAACAAACUUUCACGCCAACUACAGCUAGAAUUUAAUGGGUGCUUCCCGUGUUGCCUGGACCUGUGUCAAAUGUUUCCUGUGAUUUAUGACAUGCAACAUCCUUUUCUCAGAUAUGAUGGGACGAGGCUGAAAUCUGAGACGUCAGUAACAAAACCAAAGCCUGAAUUUAUGACACCAGACUGCGUUCCAGGCCUUUCUCUCCUACGACGUUACCCUUGGGACUGUGACUCCAUCUUCCCUACCUUAGCGAAUGUCACCAGCAAAACCUGCCAAGCGUUUGCUCAAACCCUUCUACAGAGCAAAACACUGAAGGUUUGAAAGGAGGGAUUCUAAGCUCUUAAUUUUUAGCUUGGUGAAAAGAAAUCUCUUCUCUGAAGCUAAGCAGAAAAGCAAGGUAAUGCCACACAAAGAGUGGUCAGCAACCUUGAAAGAAACUUGCCGGGGCAAAUCACUGUGGUAGGAAUAUCUGUUCUCCUUGGGAAGUGACAGAAAACCAUACAGUUGUCAGACAGCAAGUCUCUAGCCUACAGCACAGGACAAGGAAGGAAACUUCUCAUGGGUGAAAUUAAUACACAGAAAAUUUCUUGGUGGCCAGUAGGUACUUUCCAGGGAAGUUGGUGCCAGAGCUUAGAAAAAAAUCAGAGUCAAAAGCAACAAAUGAGGGGAGGGGGAUGGAUUGGUGGCAUGGGAUUGGCAUGUGCACACUGCUGUAUGAGGAAUGGAUGGUCAACAGGGACCAUCUGUGCAUCACAGGGAACUCUGCCCAAUAUUCUGUGUUGGUCUAUAUUGGGAAAGAAUCUGAAAGACAAUGGAUAUGAGCACAUGUAUAACUGAAUCACUUUAUUGUACAGCAGAAAUUAUCACAACAUUGUCAAAAAAAAAAAAAAAAAAAAAGGAGUUCCUGUCGUGGCGCAGUGGUUAACGAAUCCGACUAGAAACCACGAGGUUGCGGGUUCGAUCCCUGCCCUUGCUCAGUGGGUUGACAAUCCCGCGUUGCCGUGAGCUGUGGUGUAGGUUGCAGACGCGGCUCGGAUCCCUCGUUGCUGUGGCUCUGGCAUAGGCUGGCGGCUACAGCGCCGAUUAGACCCCUAGCCUGGGAAACUCCAUAUGCCGCGGGAGCGGCCCAAGAAAUAGCAAAAAGACAAAAAAAAACAAAACAAAACAAAAAAAAAAAACAAAAAAAACCCAAAAACAAAAACAUUGUCAAUGAAGCUUUAAGAAAAUGAAAAAAAGCGGGGGGGGGCAAUAACAGCUCCAGGACGGAACUAAGCUGAUCAACAACAUGGCUUUCGUGUCUCUUACUUGAGCUUGUAAAAUG
rnacentral:lncRNA from 1 species